rnacentral:rRNA from 1 species
UACGUAGGGGGCAAGCGUUAUCCGGAUUUACUGGGUGUAAAGGGAGCGUAGACGGCGAUGCAAGUCUGAAGUGAAAGGCGGGGGCCCAACCCCCGGACUGCUUUGGAAACUGUAUGGCUGGAGUGCAGGAGAGGUAAGUGGAAUUCCUAGUGUAGCGGUGAAAUGCGUAGAUAUUAGGAGGAACACCAGUGGCGAAGGCGGCUUACUGGACUGUAACUGACGUCGAGGCUCGAAAGCGUGGGGAGCAAACAGG